UGUUGUAAUGUUGGCGGCCCUGUGGAGCGCUGCUGCGGAGGUGGACCGGGGCCUGAAACCUCAUCACCGGUGAACGGAAACAGGUAAACUUGACAUGGGUAAGCUUGGGUGUGAUUCUGGAAUAUUACCAAGCUGUCACCUCAGCCACAAAAAGCUUGUAAUAGGUAAACUUGACAUGGGUAAGCUUGGGUGUGAUUCUGGAAUAUUACCAAGCUGUCACCUCAGCCACAAAAAGCUUGAAACAGGUAAACUUGACAUGGGUAAGCUUGGGUGUGAUUCUGGAAUAUUACCAAGCUGUCACCUCAGCCACAAAAAGCUUGUAAUAGGUAAACUUGACAUGGGUAAGCUUGGGUGUGAUUCUGGAAUAUUACCAAGCUGUCACCUCAGCCACAAAAAGCUUGUAAUAGGUAAACUUGACAUGGGUAAGCUUGGGUGUGAUUCUGGAAUAUUACCAAGCUGUCACCUCAGCCACAAAAAGCUUGAAACAGGUAAACUUGACAUGGGUAAGCUUGGGUGUGAUUCUGGAAUAUUACCAAGCUGUCACCUCAGCCACAAAAAGCUUGAAACAGGUAAACUUGACAUGGGUAAGCUUGGGUGUGAUUCUGGAGUAAUACCAAGCUGUCACCUCAGCCACAAAAAGCUUGAAACAGGUAAACUUGACAUGGGUAAGCUUGGGUGUGAUUCUGGAAUGUUACCAAGCUGUCACCUCAGCCACAAAAAGCUUGAAACAGGUAAACUUGACAUGGGUAAGCUUGGGUGUGAUUCUGGAAUGUUACCAAGCUGUCACCUCAGCCACAAAAAGCUUGAAACAGGUUAACUUGACAUGGGUAAGCUUGGGUGUGAUUCUGGAGUAAUACCAAGCUGUCACCUCAGCCACAAAAAGCUUGAAACAGGUUAACUUGACAUGGGUAAGCUUGGGUGUGAUUCUGGAAUGUUACCAAGCUGUCACCUCAGCCACAAAAAGCUUGAAACAGGUUAACUUGACAUGGGUAAGCUUGGGUGUGAUUCUGGAAUGUUACCAAGCUGUCACCUCAGCCACAAAAAGCUUGA